UUUUAAUCAUUCAAAAAUACAUUUUAUUUUUCAAAAUGUUUCAAAAAUAAUUUUUUUCCAGAUUUUUCAAAAAUAGUUUUAAAAAUAAAUUUUUGCAAAAUUUUUCAAAAAAACAUUCUUUUUCUAAAACUUUGUUCAAAAUGAUUUUUUUGUUGCAUUAGUUGUGCGUUUUACGCCACAGUGUUUACUUUAUUCACAGCUUUUUUUUUAUAAUUUUCUAAAAAUAGUUUUUUAAAUUGUAAUAAUUUUUUGUAAUUUUUUUUUAUCAUUUAAAAUUUUUUUUGUAGCUGACGCUUGUUAUUCGCAUUCAUUUAUGUAGUUAUUUGUAUGUACUUUAUAAACUUACCAUUACAACAAUUGUAAAAAAUAAAAAUAGAAAAUUGUAAACUUCUAAUAAUACAAACAUGAUGCAAAAUCAAACAAAAAAAAAAAAAACAAACAAAAAUAAAAUUCAAUUCAUAACUGUAAAAAGUUGUAAACAAAUUAUUUAACAACCGUUAUUAAUUAUUGUAUUGCAGUGUUGUUGUUAACACACACUAAUAGUUUUAACUACUCAAUAUGUGUUUAAAAUAAAAAUAAAAAACUAAUCAAGCUUAUAUAUAUACAAAUGCAUUUACACGCUUAUUAAAAAACUUUUUUUGUUUAAAUAUUAUAAUUUUUUAUUUUUAAUUUUAUGUUGCUCUCUGUAUUGCUAUUGUUUAAUACGUAAAAAGUGAAAUUAAUUAAAAAUAAAUAUAAAAAAAUAUACACACACUACCACAUACCUAAAUAUACUUAUACGCAUACAUGUACCGUUAAAAAUAAAAAAUAACCUAAAAAUAAAUAUAUUAACACUUUGUGUCACUUGUGAGUGCGAAAUAAAUAUUAUUAUAUACUUAAAAUAUACCGUUAUAACAGCUUACAGUUAUUAUUGUUAACAUAUUUACUUAAUACAAUUUACAAAACUGCUGUUUUUAGGUUAUGUGCAUAUUUUUCUUCUUUUUUUGUUUAACUUUAUUAUAUAUAUAAUCUGCAUUAUUAUUGUAGUGAGAAGCUGCUGUAUAUUUGAUGUGCAUAUUAAACGAUAUACGACUAUAUAUACAUAUAUUUACCAACACUGAUGUGUGUGAUGUUAGAGCAAAAUAAAUAAUGAGAAAUGCCAAUUGAAAAUAUUAAA